ACAGUUUCUCUGGAUAAGCAUAGUUCUCUGCUGAGUCAUCAGUCAGGUGAGCAGGGUCAGCUGACAACAGUGUUUAGAUCGAAGACUCCCGCGAGCUGAGGCCGAGCAGUUUUUUUUUUAGCUUGUGUGUUGAGACGUCUGAAAAAGGCAUUGUGCCUCCUUGGACACAUCAACAACCGCCCGAGAAUCAGUAUGAGCCUGAAUAUGGGGUCAGCUGAUGGUGUCCUCAAGCGGGGGUCUUUUGGAUGGAACACUGAUGGAAACUUCAGCUCUGUAUGCCCCAAUGGAUCGGUAUGGGUUUGGGAAGGGCUGGGGGAAUGUGCCCAGGACGCCAGGGACAUGGCCAGUGUCAUCCUGGGUCUACUGUCUAUAGUGUGCUUCAUGGUUUCUUCUCUGCCGCAAUACUACAGCUCUUGUAAGAGUGGGAAUAUGGACAGCGCCUUGUCCAUUUGGUUUCUGUUGCUGUGGCUGGGGGGUGACUCCUGCAAUCUUGUAGGCUCAUUCUUAGCUGACCAGCUGCCACUACAGACAUACACAGCAGUGUAUUAUGUCCUGGCUGACUUAUUGAUGCUGGGAUUAUACUUUUAUUACCUAUCUAAGCACAGGAUGAAUAACAACAGGUCGGUUCUAAAUGUAGUUGGAGUAGUCUAUAUACUGGGCUUCUCUGCCAGCCUCGUUGCCUUACCUGGGUCAGGGUCCCAACAGGAUGUGGUCCUCUCUGGGUUUAAGGGGCGGGCCUUGCUGUCAACCACUGUGGACAGUGUUAAGGCUUUCAGCACCAAGGAGAUCAUUGGGUUUACCAUUGGCUCCAUAUCCUCAGUGCUCUACCUCUGCUCCAGACUGCCACAGAUGCACACUAAUAAUGUUUAUGUCUCUGGUAGUACACAAGGAAGUCGACGGAGGGUGUGUCCUACUUCCUGUUUGCCCUGGUCAUCCUGGGUAACACUACGUACGGCCUGAGUGUGCUGCUGAAGAACCCUGAGCAAGGCCAGGGAGAGGGGAGCUAUGUCAUCCACCACCUGCCCUGGCUCAUUGGAAGCCUGGGCACCCUCUCUCUAGAUGUCCUGAUCUCCGUACAGUUCCUGAUAUACCGCAAUAAUGCCCCUCUGGAGUUGGAAUCGCAGCAUGAUGAGAGAGCUCCUCUGCUGGACAAAUGAAACUUCUCCCUUUGUGCUGGAUCUAGCAGUUCAGACAAUUAUCCCCACCCAAUAGACUCUCACUCACAUUCCUAACCACUAAAUUCAGAACUUUUUGACAAACACAGGAAAUCCCUUUUCACUGUAUUGUUAUUUAUGUGUUAUGAGAAAGAUGCGACUUUGUUAAUUGGGAUUCAGCUGUAGUUUACUUUAACUGUUCUUAAUUGCUCUUAAACUUUUUGUGAAGGACCUUCCAACCAUCUAAAUACUUCUAGUAUUUCAAAUUUGUUAAAAACCUGUCCUGACAAUCAUGACACUACUACUGGUCACUACAUGGAACCCUCUCGUUGUCGUAUUAGAAUAGUCUUGUUGUUGUAUUUCAGAAGUGAUUGACAAAACAUUUUUUUUUUGCAGAUCACUUCAUGUCUUUUGUAUACAGAGACAUGAAUCUUAGUGUCUUGACAUGUUCAUGUGGAUUUAUUGUAACUUCAUUAAAGUGUAAAUGUCUGAAGUACUGUACUUAAUUUAUUUGAUCGUUUACAUCAAUUGCCUUUAAGCAUUUUUGAAUUGUACAUUUUAAUUUAUGUACUUUUUGUUGACUACUUUUUUGGGGGUAUGGUAUCCGGUCUGGAGACUUGACCUCAUGUUUGUUCAGUGUAAGCACAGAGUAACGAUGCUCACUGAAGGUUUCUGUUGCUGGAAGGGUCCUGUUUCUUUCUUAGUCUGUUCCCUACCAAAUGGUGUUGCAUCAGUACUGAAAUACACAGGAAGGAUUUAAGAUUUUAUCACGUUGAUAAUGUCUCAUUCCCCACUUACUACUACAUUUAAGCAGGAAAAAGACAAUGUUCUAAAGAAAUUAGUUGUGGGAAUGUCAUUCAUUUUGAUAAAUGUUUUGUUUCACUAACACACUCAAUAGGACACAUAAAUCAUGCUUUUAAAUAACUGAAUUUGUAUGGAGCCCUGCUGUCAUUUGGCCAGUGUACCUGAUCUUUAGUAUGUUAAAUAUGCUGGGAACAUGUUGUUUUCCGCCUUCCAUAUCCAGCACAUACUGUUUUUGACUGGACUCCAAGAUUGUAUAAUAAAAUUCAUGAAAAAUAA